GGUGGUAUAGUGUAGAGGUAUCACAGCACGUUGUGGCCGUGCUAACCUGGGUUCGAUUCCCAGUGCCGCCA